rnacentral:tRNA from 1 species
GAGGGUACAGCUCAGUGGUAGAGCAUGGGCUUAGCAUGCACAAGGCCCUGGGUUCAAUUCCCAGAACCUCA